UGGGGAAUUUUGCACAAUGGGGGAAACCCUGAUGCAGCGACGCCGCGUGAUUUAGAAGGCCUUCGGGUUGUAAAAAUCUUUUCUAUGGGAAGAAAAUGACAGUACCAUAGGAAUAAGGACCGGCUAAUUACGUGCCAGCAGCCGCGGUAAUACGUAAGGUCCGAGCGUUGUCCGGAAUUAUUGGGCGUAAAGGGUACGUAGGUGGUUUUUUAAGUCAGGUGUCAAAGCGUGGAGCUUAACUCCAUUAAGCACUUGAAACUGAAAGACUUGAGUGAAGGAGAGGAAAGUGGAAUUCCUAGUGUAGCGGUGAAAUGCGUAGAUAUUAGGAGGAAUACCGGUGGCGAAGGCGACUUUCUGGACUUUUACUGACGCUCAGGUACGAAAGCGUGGGGAGCAAACAGG
rnacentral:rRNA from 1 species